rnacentral:piRNA from 1 species
GUCCUUUGAAUAAAACUACACAAACCAAG